rnacentral:lncRNA from 1 species
GAUUUGUAAAAUAAAGUAGGUGAUACUUUUUGGAAAAUUUCAUAAGUUUAGAAAUAGAUUUGUAAGUAAAAUUUUAAAUAUUUGUAGAUAUAUAUGUGUUCAAUACAUGUUGUGAGUUUGAGCUUGAUUGAAAGGUUGGAUCAAGAAUUAUUGAGGUUAAAAAAGAUCAAGGUUUUGAAAAGUAGAGUUUUAGGUCCAAUGAGGAAUUCUUAGAUUUUUUGCAAUCUAUUAGUUGGAUUGGAAUAAAAAUUAUGUAUGUAAAUAAUAGACUUAUUUUUCUAUAUAUAUAAAAAAUUUAAGAUCAAUCAAAUAGUUGGAUAAGGAGAUAUUGAUGCUAAAAAUUUAACAUUUAGAUUGAUCUUCUUUUAGUGAAUUUGAUCUUCUUCAAAAAAUUUGUACUUAUUUUCAACUUAAUUAUUGAGAGGUGUGCAAAUUUUGAGUUAAAAUCAAUAGUUCAUUCAUUAGUUACUAAGGUUUAAAUAUAUUGUAGAAAUUACUUUGAAUUAUUUAGGGUUUGUUUAGAAUUUGUUUAGGAUUUGGUUAGAAUUUGAUUAAGAUUUAUUUAGGAUUUAUUUAGGAUUUGCUUAGGAUUUGGUUAGGAUUUGUUUAGGAUUUGAUUAGGAUUUUUUUAGGAUUUAAUUAGGAUUUAUUUAAGAUUUGACUAAAAUUUAGUUAAGAUUUGUCCAAGAUUUGAUUAAGAUUUUUUACGAUUUGACUAGGAUUUAUUUAAGAUUUGAGUAGGAUUUGACUAUAAUUUGAUUAGAUUUUGAUUAGGAUUUAAUUAAUAUUUCUAUU